CCAAUAGCGUAUAUUAAAGUUGUUGCAGUUAAAAAGCUCGUAGUUGAAUUUCGGGAUUGACACAUCGGUCGUGCCUUAAGGGGUAUGAACUGGUGUAGUCAAUUUCUCACCUUCUGGAGAACCACGAUGCCCUUAAUUGGGUGUCACGGGGAACCAGGACCUUUACUUUGAAAAAAUUAGAGUGUUUAAAGCAGGCAUUUUGCUUGAAUACAUUAGCAUGGAAUAAUAAAAUAGGACGGCAUGAUUCUAUUUUGUUGGUUUCUAGGAUCACCGUAAUGAUUAAUAGGGAUAGUUGGGGGCAUUAGUAUUCAAUUGUCAGAGGUGAAAUUCUUGGAUUUAUUGAAGACUAACUACUGCGAAAGCAUUUGCCAAGGAUGUUUUCAUUAAUCAAGAACGAAAGUUAGGGGAUCGAAGACGAUCAGAUACCGUCGUAGUCUUAACCAUAAACUAUGCCGACUAGGAAUCAGACGAUGUUAAUUUUUUAAUGACUCGUUUGGCACCUUACG
rnacentral:misc_RNA from 1 species